GAUGAAGAACGUAGCGAAAUGCGAUAGGUAAUGUGAAUUGCAGAAUUCAGUGAAUCAUCGAAUCUUUGAACGCACAUUGCGCCCAAUGGUAUUCCAUUGGGCAUACCUGUUUGAGUAUCAGAAUCCUUUCAAUUAUCAAACUUUUAUAUAUAGAGAUGUAUGUAAAGAUGUUUGGAAUAAAGUUGAGAAAAGUAGUAUUGUUUAUAAUAUUACUUUCUUAAAAACCAGAAAUAUUAUGUUUUGAUUUUUCUUCACCUCAUUUUGUAUGAAAUUUUAACAAAUGAGUAUGAGUAAAAAUAACAAUACUUUGGAUGACCUCAAAUCAGGUAGGGAUACCCGCUGAACUUAAGCAUAUCAAUAAGCGGAGGA
rnacentral:misc_RNA from 1 species